UUGGCCUGACACUGAGGAGCCUUCUCCGGCAGUCACCCACCACAAAGCAGUUUAUUUUCAUUCUGAAGGUAAGGGUCCAGAAAUCCUACAGCAGCUCAAAGGAACACCAUCAUAACCUGCACACAUGUGUUUUAGCAGUGAGAUUCUUGAUUGUCAGAAAUGAGAAAACAUGUCUUUUCUUUGUUGAUUCCAUAGCAUUUGGACCCAGGUGGGAGAUUCUUCUUGCCAGCGCUCAACCAGCUCCUCUAUUGUGGGAAACAUCAUCCCAGGAUCGAUCUUGAUGAAGUCCAGCAAGCCUUCCCUGAUGUUCCCAGGGAAAUCUGGCAGACUGGAACCACCUACGAAAACAUCAAUGAAGGAGAUCUAGAAAUAGAGGAGUUGUGACCUCCACCCUCCGCCGUUGAUCCACCGAUGUUCCAGGAUGGAUGAAGUUCUACUCCAUCUAAG